GAUGAACGCUGGCGGCGUGCCUAAUACAUGCAAGUCGAGCGAACGGACGAGAAGCUUGCUUUUCUGAUGUUAGCGGCGGACGGGUGAGUAACACGUGGAUAACCUACCUAUAAGACUGGGAUAACUUCGGGAAACCGGAGCUAAUACCGGAUAAUAUUUUGAACCGCAUGGUUCAAAAGUGAAAGACGGUCUUGCUGUCACUUAUAGGUGGAUCCGCGCUGCAUUAGCUAGUUGGUAAGGUAACGGCUUACCAAGGCAACGAUGCAUAGCCGACCUGAGAGGGUGAUCGGCCACACUGGAACUGAGACACGGUCCAGACUCCUACGGGAGGCAGCAGUAGGGAAUCUUCCGCAAUGGGCGAAAGCCUGACGGAGCAACGCCGCGUGAGUGAUGAAGGUCUUCGGAUCGUAAAACUCUGUUAUUAGGGAAGAACAUAUGUGUAAGUAACUGUGCACAUCUUGACGGUACCUAAUCAGAAAGCCACGGCUAACUACGUGCCAGCAGCCGCGGUAAUACGUAGGUGGCAAGCGUUAUCCGGAAUUAUUGGGCGUAAAGCGCGCGUAGGCGGUUUUUUAAGUCUGAUGUGAAAGCCCACGGCUCAACCGUGGAGGGUCAUUGGAAACUGGAAAACUUGAGUGCAGAAGAGGAAAGUGGAAUUCCAUGUGUAGCGGUGAAAUGCGCAGAGAUGUGGAGGAACACCAGUGGCGAAGGCGACUUUCUGGUCUGUAACUGACGCUGAUGUGCGAAAGCGUGGGGAUCAAACAGGAUUAGAUACCCUGGUAGUCCACGCCGUAAACGAUGAGUGCUAAGUGUUAGGGGGUUUCCGCCCCUUAGUGCUGCAGCUAACGCAUUAAGCACUCCGCCUGGGGAGUACGACCGCAAGGUUGAAACUCAAAGGAAUUGACGGGGGCCCGCACAAGCGGUGGAGCAUGUGGUUUAAUUCGAAGCAACGCGAAGAACCUUACCAAAUCUUGACAUCCUUUGACAACUCUAGAGAUAGAGCCUUCCCCUUCGGGGGACAAAGUGACAGGUGGUGCAUGGUUGUCGUCAGCUCGUGUCGUGAGAUGUUGGGUUAAGUCCCGCAACGAGCGCAACCCUUAAGCUUAGUUGCCAUCAUUAAGUUGGGCACUCUAAGUUGACUGCCGGUGACAAACCGGAGGAAGGUGGGGAUGACGUCAAAUCAUCAUGCCCCUUAUGAUUUGGGCUACACACGUGCUACAAUGGACAAUACAAAGGGCAGCGAAACCGCGAGGUCAAGCAAAUCCCAUAAAGUUGUUCUCAGUUCGGAUUGUAGUCUGCAACUCGACUACAUGAAGCUGGAAUCGCUAGUAAUCGUAGAUCAGCAUGCUACGGUGAAUACGUUCCCGGGUCU
rnacentral:rRNA from 1 species